rnacentral:misc_RNA from 1 species
CUGAGUUGCAAGACUCCCUAACCAUUGUGAACCUACCUAUACCGUUGCUUCGGCGGGCGAGGCCCCAGCGGCCCCCCCAGGCCCCCCGCGGGGGAGCAGCCCGCCGGAGGCGUACCCAAACUAUUGACAUACUAGUGGCCUCUCUGAGUAUCUUUACUGAAUAAGUCA